UGGUUCUUUCUUUUGAAUACGCCCCCUCUGAAGCUCCCUGACACUCUAAAACACGAGCUCAUAGUUUUUCCUGACAGUUAGCUGGAUUCACAAUAUAAGAGAGCCACUGAGAAAUUCUUGUAAUGUGUUCAUAUACAAAUGCACCACGAUAAUAUCGAGCUUUAUUAAUCUGUUUCAAUGAUCCAUAAGUCAGAGAACCACUGUGAUAAAAGAUAACUAACAUGAUGUGACACAAUCACAAUCAUCUCCAUGUCCGUGCUAUGUAUUUCCGGAAGAUUAUUUGCUCGCAACGCUUUCUGGCACGAUUUCCUGUAUUGUCAUCAUUCUCAAAUACCUAGAAUUUCGCGACGGUCUGAUUAAGCUCAUUGGAACGCAGAUUAUUUAAAAGUAGUUCUAUUGUUGGUGUCUACUAUAAUAUUAUUUCAAUUCUACUGAAUAUAAUUUUAAUUUUUAAAUCUGUAACAUCUAAUUGUUUAACUGUCGUGUUUGAAGUACAGUCUAAUUUUUAAUAUUUGACAUGUGCAUUUUACGUUACUACUAACACGUUUAUACAACUGCAUUCGAAACGUAUUAAAGCGUAUCUGGAUAUUUUCUGAGACCUUACUGAUGCGCAGCAUCGGGUUAAGUGCUAAGGUUGCCGGCUUGUGCACGUGUGUUAGCCGUUCAUAUAUCUUCUAUUGCACUUUUUGUUUUGCAUCGUUACCCUCUUAACCCAUUCUCCACUCUCAAUCGAACGGAAUCGAGUUGCAUCGAUACAUAGAGCGUACGAAACGCGCGAGAACGGAAAGCAGAGUCGAUGCCACGGAGGUGCACGAAGGAGGCCGAGCGGGUUCGGAAGCAGCCGAGGCCAUCUGUUACGCUCGGUUCCCACGCUUCCGCCGUCGCCUUUCCCCGCCUUUGGACCAGUCCUCAUCGGUCCUUUUCUUGCCCCCUCCUUAGCCGACACUGCCGGCUCUCGCCAUCGCUUUAUUUUAUAUAGCCGGAGAACGCUUGGACGUCUUUAACCGCGAGUCCGCGUUUUCUGUUACGAACUUACGAGGCGAAACUUUUGUCCAUUAUCGCGAGAUUUCUGCUCGUCGUAGUUUCCGUUUGGCUCGGUCUCGAGGCGUUAAGUAAAAGUUGUACGACUAGUCUUGUAAGGAUAGGACCGGCCAAAAUCUUUAUCUCUUUCGGUCCCGUUCUGUGUACGUCACAACAAAAACAAAUGUUCCAAGAUGUUCCCUACGUAUUUUACUUUCUUACGUUCGUUUGAAAUAAAUCGAAUGUUUUACAGCAAAAUUCGUUACCUUAUUUCCUUAAUAUCUACUUAAGCAAGCGUUAGCUAUUCAAUGUUGUUAGAUGACAUAAUAUUGAAGUGUUAUAUGAAAUGGUACAUAAUUUCUUUUCAUGACUCUCACAUUUAAGAAUUAAAACUGAGAUUUCUCUUAAAUGUGAACGUUUCCGUGGGAGCAGUUAGAUAAAUUCAGCCGGGCGGCUUCGCUUUCUCCAGUUUGUUCAUCAAGCAAGCCGACUGCGAUACUUGAAACUGGUCCAUGUAAGUACAAGUAUCUAUCUAGGAGAACUUAGAAAGAGGUCGUUUUUCUAUCAGAAGAAAACCCGAGUACAGAUUGAUCUUCCUUUCCAAUCCAAUUUCGCCAUUACAAUUAUCAAACUUUCCAUGUUAAAUGCAUUAUUGAUAAUUAUUACGAAUAUACUGUUUUACUUAUUAUUUUAAUAGAUAUUAUUGCCAUCCGAUAUAUUUAGUUACGCCAGUGGCACGAAUUAGCCUGCCAAAGAAAAAAAAGUUGCUUUCAACGUGGGGCACGUGCCGUCUGCAGUCGCGCCGCCAUUGUCAUCUUCCCAGAGGCUGUGUUUACACAAACGCAUUCCCCCAAUCGCCCCCUGCGCAAAGUUGGCACUCCCGACCACCAGCCACUGCGUACAGAGAACGUUCUUAAAUGUGUUCGUACAAAAGGAAUCGUAAACGGCGCGCACGUGUGUUGACGACGCGUCGUCGAGGGGGCUGGAACGAUUAAACCGACCGCAAAAAGAGAUGGACUCGAUUCUUUAAAUACACGGUCAAUAUGACAGGGGGAGCGACCAUGGUGACAAUGUCGAGUGACUUCUAGCGACCCCUUGUUUACCUAUGAAUAAAUUCCAUUUACUUCGUUACAUAAAAACAUGAGGAUAAAAGGUCGAAAACAUAGCCAAUAGAUUACACAUUCGAACAAAGUUAAUCCCAGAUAUUGUGUAUAGUAGCUCACUAAAGUAUUCGUACAUUUAUUACAAAUGUAUGCGUAUUUCUGUGCUAUAUGAAACAUUUUGCAACUUCACUAGCAUUGUAAUGAGAUUAGGCUAUAAUUGUUACGUUGGUAAAGAAAAUUUACAUAGAAGCUACAAAAUAUUUAGUGUAAGUAUAUGUAUAUACGUAAUUGAAAGUUCCUAGUAAUUUUAAAACAAUUUGCCGAACAAUUUAAAGAAUGUAGAGGGCGGUGAUCGUGAGCAAACGAUUACGUUGAACCUAACUCGAGACAGAUGAUUUUAUGGCGCAGUAAUCGUCGCGGUAUGCAAUCGAUAAUAAAGGGACGAUCGACCCUGUGAACGAAGCCAGGUUCGGAAACCUUUGUACAUGAUGAACAAUUUGAAACGUGUUGCUGGUUGUCGUGGCAUAAAUCAGUCGCUCUGUCGGCAUGAUUAGAAACUCUUUGGAAAAUACGCGGCGAACAUUGGAAGGAACGGCGUAGUAUCGGUUCUGUUGAAACAGGCUGUCUGUCGCGUCUCAUGGCAACGCGACCUUUUCUUUAGGUUAUGUUAUGUGAUUGUUUUAAUCAAAGAACAUCGUACAUAACAUGAAACUAUGUUACAUAAUCUAAAUGAAUUUUUGCAGUUUGUCGGAAUAUAGUAACGGGUAAUAUAAUCACUUGCUAUAAUACAAUACUUAUUCUGUGCACAUAUUAGGUUGAUGCAUAUGAAAUGUCCUCUCAAAUGAAACUAAUCACGUGCAGGUUCUUCAAAUCAUCAUAUCUAUGUUGAACUGAUAAUUCUCAGAAAUCUAAUAUAAUUAAAGCACUUAUUCUUUAGGAAACUAUAUCAUGUAAAAAUCACUUUGAUUAAAUUUACAUGUAAUGCAUUGAAGAAUCUAUAUAGUAUAUGCGGUUAAAUUUCAUUUCAAAAAGAACAUUUCAUAUACACCAAUCUAAUACAUAGAAAAGAAAUAUUAGUGGAGAAGCAUGUUUUUAGAAAAUAUAAUACAAUAUUACUAAAGCUAUAAUAAAGUAUCGCUUAAUUUUGGAAUAGAUUGUACAAACGCACUCGAGGAAUAGAUACCGAAAUCCCUUCUUUUUUUCGGAGUUCAAGAUUUAUAUGUUUUGUUCUGGGCGUUGUAAAUGAGUCCCUCGCGGUUCGAUAGCCACGAAUGCGUGUAUUUAGUUCGAUAAGAGAGCUAAUAUGCAACGUAUUCCGACAGGGGCGCGUACGCAAAAGAUGGAGACUGUGCCAACAACGCUUGCAACGAUAUAGAAUCAUGAAUGGUACUCUUGUAAACGAUAUCGAAACGCAACCCUCUGUUUCCGUUUUGUCCAAUAAUAGAUUUCCCCCAUUCUGCGGUUUCCCUUUAUUCGCAUGAAGAUUAUGUUACACGCCUGUUCGGCACGGUUAGUCGUGAAGCUGAAUGUAACGAACGAUAAACCUAACCUAAAUUAAGCGGAAGUAAAAUUUAUUUUUCAAAAACAAAAAAUACGUGUUUUUUUUAUAAUAAUAACUGUUCCAUAAAUGUUAUUAAAAGAUUAGGGAUACUUCAAAUUAAUUUCAUGGUCGUCUAGAACUUCUUUUUUUUAACACAAACAAACAAAAGUAAACAAUCACGCGGGCCACUGGUUACAAAUAUAAAUGCAUGGAGAACUGAAACGCAUAACCGGCGAUUAACCGUAGCUGCUCGAAGCGUAUAGCAACAGACCGUUAUCUGAAACACGUAUGACGAUAAACUUGAAACUCUGCUCCAGUAUAUUCGAGGAAUGACCUACGUGGAAGUUGGCAUGUCUUGAUUCGUUUGCAAAUUAAACAACGUAUAAAACACUUUCUGAUAUUUCAUUGAAAACAGUUUCUAAUCCACCCUACAAAAAUUAAAAUGUCAUUGACUCACGUAGGAUGUUUACAUAUUCGUAACUAAAGAAAACAUUCGAACAUUUAUGAUAACCUUUUAUGAAUAUAUAUUACAUAUAUAUGUUAUACGAAACAUCUCGAAAUUUCAUUAGCAAUGUAUUGAGAUAGAUUGAUAAAGUGAAACAACUUUGGAAAUGCAAAUACAUAUAGAAGAUGCAAGAUACUACAUCACAGAAGUAUUUAAAGAAUCAAUAUAUAGUGAGGCUAUAUUCAUGCUAUGAUAUUAAUUUUUUACUAAGUAUCGUAUGCUUACAGUAUACACUUUGUAAUUUAAUUGUAUACAAUUUGCAAUAUAAUGAUAAUAAACGAGCCUUAUGACAGCGCUAAUGAAAUUUCAAAAUGUUUUACAUAACACAUACGAUAUAUAUACAAAAGUUUUCUAUGGUAAGUAUUUGAAUUCUUUCAUGAGCUACUGUAAAUACACACAACACAAUGCGCCUUGCCAGUUUUCCCUCUUACGAACCAACCUAUUAUUAUUGCAAGGAUUAAGCUUUCAAAGCAUUACUACAAACCGCGACAAGCAAUGUUAGAAAUAAAAAAAAA